rnacentral:rRNA from 1 species
GAUGAACGCUGGCGGCAGGCUUAACACAUGCAAGUCGAACGCGUGUAGCAAUACACGAGUGGCGCACGGGUGAGUAACGCGUGGAUAUCUGCCUUUUGGUUCGGAAUAACUCCGGGAAGCUGGAGCUAAUACCGGAUGGUUCCUUCGGGAUAAAGAUUUAUCGCCAAAAGAUGAGUCCGCGUACGAUGAGCUAGUUGGUGAGGUAAUGGCUCACCAAGGCGACGAUCGUUAGCUGGUUUGAGAGGACGAUCAGCCACACUGGGACUGAGACACGGCCCAGACUCCUACGGGAGGCAGCAGUGGGGAAUAUUGGACAAUGGGGGCAACCCUGAUCCAGCCAUGCCGCGUGAGUGAUGAAGGCCUUCGGGUUGUAAAGCUCUUUUGGCGGGGACGAUGAUGACGGUACCCGCAGAAUAAGCCCCGGCUAACUUCGUGCCAGCCGCCGCCGUAAGAC